UCUCAAUGAAGCAGAGCCUACUAUUUGGUCCUAUCUUACAGAGAUGAAAACUUUGGCUCUGAAAGGUAAUAUGUUAUUCAGGGAUGCGAACUAAGUGAAAGAGCCAAUGCAAGAUCCUUCCCGACUCAGAACUGCACAUAAACAACCUACCUACCUGUCUGUCAUUCAAUAAGAUUCUGGGCCAGAGAAUCACCCUGCUGGGUCAGACUGGAAUAGUAAGUGGGGAAUAAAUAUUUGCUGACGGUUCACGGUUCCAAUGGCUGCUGACUUUAGCUAAGUUCUGUCUUCUUGGGCUUUCACUUUUUUUUUUUAAUGUGAAAUAAAUUGGACCAAUCUGAAGACAAACUCGCCUCACUCACUUGUGGAGCCUACUAAAACCACGGAUUCUCGUUAUUCUGUAGUUUUAUCUGACGCCAUGGGGCCAGUACACUCUUAUUUCUGUCACCAUCCCUGCCCGGGACUCCAGUCAGAGCCCUGGGAAAAGUGCUGUGCCCAAGCGGAGGCUAACUUGAGUGUGAGGGUUACAACAUGUAGAAAGGAAUUUUCACAACUGCUGGGAAUGCCAGCUCUGGAGAGAUUUGACAGCCAGUUUGAAGACUUCAGGCAGUUUGGAUAAGCAUCUAGACUCUAGGUACAUUUCUGAGUCUGCUCUAUGAUCCCUUUGAAGUUUGUCCAACCUGAAUAAGUCUUCCAGAAAGCUGGAGCCAGUGAAAAGCCUCCUUUGGAAGUCUGUCUGGAUGUGUCCUGUUGUUUCUCACAGGGCAGCUAGCCCAUCAGAACAAGAGAUCUGGAAAGCGGAAUAGAAACUGGAGGCAUAGGGCGGGGUAGAUAGCAUAAUUGUUAUGCAAACAGAUCUCAUGCCUGAGGCUCCAAAGUUCCAGGUUCAAUCCCCCACCCCCACCACCACUGUAAGCCAGAGCUGAGCAGUACUCUGGUAAAGAAAAGAAAAAAGAAAAGAAGAGAAAUGAAACUGGAGGCAUAAUGCUCCUCUAAUAACCAGUCUGUCUUUUUUCCUCUUCCUGCUCCUUUUGCAUAUGGAGGAAACAGCAAAGAUCAACAAAUCCACAGUGGACUUUGUGGGCCAGGGGCUUAAAUGUCAUCAUGGUUGCCUGUGACCUUAUUGCAGUCUGUUUCUGAAGGCCUUGGCUAGGAUGUACAUAAAAUCGCCACAAGUUACAGAAAUCAAGAGCAAUAAAAGAUUCCACCUGAAGUUCAAGAGAAGUGGUGACAAAGCCAUGUGUUGAUACCAGUAGAAGGUUCCAUCUCAUUUUCUGGAGAAGCAUUUCUGGCUGCCUAGGCCAGGGUUGGAGUCUUUCUUUCAUCCUAUCUGCACAGGCUUACUAAUCACAAAAUGGCUGGAGCAAUAAAAAGAGACUGCAUGCUUGCAAACAGAUGAACACACCUUAUCACCAAGUGACACUUCCUAUAGUACAACCUGGACAGGCUUUGAUCACACUCAGGAAGUGAAGAGGGAGAUGUUGGUAUGCUUCUAAAUUCUGCUUCUAAGACCCCUUCUGUUUCAUUCGUUUAAUCCCCCCUGCUUAACACUAUAUUCUAUUUAUAUAACCACUGUUAACUAAGCACCGCCCUGCCUCCAGGGCAUUGGUUUAAUCCUCACUGUUUUGCUCGAGCGUGAUUUUUCCUUCUCCCCACCCCCUAUCCUACAUACAUGCUCUUCGGACCUGACUCUUCCGCCUCAGGAUAUAUAAGGACAAGACUGUGAUUAGAGAUAGUUUAGAUUGUGCUGCAUUCCACAUGAAUAAAGACUGAACUACGUACCACUCA